rnacentral:misc_RNA from 1 species
AACUAGCUUUAACAGAAUUUACUUUCGUAAAUGUGAACCCUGAAACCAAAUGCAAAACUCUACCAUCAAAGGGUGAAUCAUGGCAGACAAAACAUGACCCAUGUCGGAAAUUUCAUUUAAUUCUAAACGUUAAUGGUUGACCUAUUACUAUUGAAAGGAAGGAAGAGAAAACCAAGAAAAAGACAAACCAUCAUCAAUAACCAGGAUGGUGAAAAUAUCAGCAAGCAAUUAACUAACUAAUUCAUCAAAGUCAAACAACCAGUCUUAAUCUUAAAUUAAUUGGAUUCUUUUUCGCCAUUCACAUCAAUAUCCAUAUCGGAAGCAAAUCAAAAAAAAUAAAACAAAAUAAAAUAAAUAAAAUGAAUCACCAUUGUUGGCAUCCAUAUUCGAA